rnacentral:rRNA from 1 species
UGGUGUAAAUUAUAGAAUCCCAUCAACGAUCAAGUCUUUGUAUGCAAGUUGCACCCCAAGCCAUUAGGCCAUAGGCACGCCUGAUUGGUUGUCAUGCAUUAUCACUCCCAACCCCUCAACCAUUAGGCUUCUGGUGAAGGAGGUAGAAGAUGGCCUCCCAUGAUCUCAUCGGUCAUGAUUGGCCCAAAUGCAAGUUUUCAGCAAUAAUAGUGCCAUGAUCAUUGAUAGUAAAGCUAGUGCCAUGCCUCAUCUCUAGUGAUGCACACUCAUUGUCCAUUUAGAACCCAUCGAACUCCCUAUAUUGCUCAAUUGAUGCCUACAUUGUGACUUCAGGUCAAAUGAGAUUACUCAUUGAGUUUAAGCUUAUCAAUAAGUAAAAGAAAAGAAACUUACCAAGAUUCCCCUAGUAACAAUGAAUGAACUGAGAAUAGCCUAGCUUGAGAAUUGAGCCCUCUCAACAUUUGAAUUAUAGUAUGGAGAAGCAUCCUCAGUGGCAAACCAAGCCCAAGUCCCUUGCAAAAGGGCACUAGAAAGGUUGAGAGCCCCAUUAUGCCUAGACCCUUAACACUUGUGUCUCCUACCAUUGGCUUAUGGGCUCUCCAUCUUGCUCAUCUUGAAAUAUAAACCAAGGAGUCUGACAUAUCUGCAAGUCAAUGGGCAAGAAAACCUAUAAUGCAUAAAAAAGCUGAUUGGCAAGAUCCCUCAUAGGUGCACUACCAACCAACCUUAAUCUUCUAAGAAAGGUUCAAGCGUGAGAAUGCUUGUUAGGAUUUGAAAGAUGGUGAACUAUGCCUAAGCAAGGCAAAGCCAAAGGAAAGUUUGGUGGAGGCCUACAGCAAUACUAACAUGCAAAUCAUUCGUUUGACUUAGGUAUAGGGGUGAAAGACUCAUCGAACUAUCUAGUAGCUAGUUUCUUCUAAAGUUUCCCCUAAGAUAACUAGAGCCCUUAACGAGUUCUAUUAGGUAAAGCAAAUGAUUAGAGACAUUAGGUGUAAAAUGCCCUCAACCUAUUCUCAAACUUUAAAUAGGUAGGAUGGUGUGGCUGUUUCAUUGAGCCAUGCCAUAAAAUUUAAGGCUCUUAGUGGGCUAUAUUUGGUAACCAAAAUUGGUGAUGCAGGAUAAACUCAAUGUCGAGUUAUAGUGCCCAACUGUACGUUAACCUAUAACUCAUAAAGGGUGUUGGUCGAUUAAGACAACAAGAUGAUGGUCAUGGAAGUUGAAAUUCGGUAAAGAGUGUGUAACAACUCACCUACCAAAUCAACUAGCCCCAAAAAUGGAUGGUGCUUAAGUGUGCAACCUAUUCCCGACCAUUGGGGUGAGGGCAAAGACCCAAUGAGUAAGAGGACUUAGCAAUCACCAUAAAACCUAGGGUACGAGCUCGAGCUAAAUGACCAUCAAUGUAGAUCUUGGUUGUAGUAGCAAAUAUUCAAAUGAGAACUUUGAAGGAUAAAAAUGGGAAAGGUUCCAUGUGAAUGACACUUGUACAUAGGUUAGUCAAUCCUAAGAGAUGGGGGAAGCUCAUCUAAUAGUGCAUCUAGUGCAAGCUUCGAAAGUGAAUCUAUUUGAAAUUCCUAAAUUGAGACACGAUGGCUAAUGACAAUGUUAGGUAGUUUGGAGACUUCGAUGGGAGCCUUGGAAAGACUUAUCUUUUUUGUUUAAUGGCUUGCCCAACUUGGAAAUAGCUUAGCCAAAGGUAGGGUCCAGUGGCUAAAAGAGCACACACAUUGCAUAGUAUUCAGUGCACCCCCGGUGGCCUUUGAAAAUCUGAAGGACUGAGUUUCAUCCAUGUCCAAUCAUACUCAUAACUGUAUUAGGUCUCCAAAGAGAACAACCUUUAGUCGAUGGAACAAUGUAAGGAAGGGAAGUCGACAAAAUGGAUCUAUAACCUUGACAAAAAGAUUGGCUUUGAGGCCUAGCUGUGGGGGUCCCAAUCCCAAACCCAUGUGCUACCAUUGUACUACUUGAGCUACUCUUUGGCAAGAGUGAAUCAUCAUGUACAGGCUAAGGGAUGGACUGGGAGUGGCUCUCUUGGGGGCCUUCCCUAGGAAAUGAUUAGUAGACUUAAAACUACUAUAGACAAUGGGAACUAGAAUGUUUAAUUAAAAUAAAGCAUUGUGAUGGUCCCUGCAGAUGCCCACGCAAUGUGAUUUUUAUCUAGUGCUCUAAAUGUCAAAGUGAAGAAAUUCAACCAAGCACGGGUAAACGAUGGGAGUAACUAUGACUCUUUUAAGGUAGCCAAAUGCCUUGUCAUCUAAUUAGUGACGUGCAUGAAUGGAUUAGUGAGAUUCCCACUAUCCCUAUCUACUAUCUAGUGAAACCACAGCCAAGGGAGCAGGCUUGGUAGAAUUAGUAGAGAAAGAAGACCUUGUUGAGCAUGACUCUAGUCUAACUUUGUGAAAUGACUUGAGAGGUAUAGGAUAAGUGAAAGCCCUUAGGCAAAAUUAAAAUAUCACUACUUUUAAUUUUAUUUUACUUAUUCUAUGAAUCAGAGGAAAGGCACAACCCUUUCUUUUUGACCCAGAGCCAACCUCGAUCGAUCAAUUUGGGCAGAAAACAUUGUCAAGUUAGGAAUUUAGCUAGGGUGACACAUUUAUUAAAAGAUAAUGUUGGUGUCCUAUGAUGAGCUCAAUGAGAAUAGAAAUCUCAUGUGGAACAAAAGGGUAAAAGCUCAUUUGAUUUAGGUUUCUAAUAUGACUAUGAACCAUGAAAGUGUGGCCUAUCGAUCCUUUAGACUUUCAAAAUUUGAAGCUAAAGGUAUCAAAAAAGUUGCCAUAGGGAUAACUGGCUUGUGGCAACCAAGCAUUCAUAGCAACUUUGCAUUUUGAUCCUUCAAUGUUAGCUCUUCUUAUCAUUGUAAAACAGAAUUCACUAAGUGUUGGAUUGUUCACCCUCAAUAGGAAAGGUGAGCUGGGUUUAGACUAUUAUGAGACAGGUUAGUUUUACCCUAUUGAUGGGAACGUCGCAAUAGUAAUUCAACUUGGUAUGAUAAGAACCAUUAUUUUGCAAAAUUUGUUAUCGCGUUUGGUUGAAAAGUCAGUGAUGCAAAGCUACCAUGCACUAGAUUAUGAUUGAAUGCCUCUAAGUUAAAAUCCAAGCUAGAAGCUACGCAUGCACCUGUCACCUGAUUGUUGACAUGUAGUAGGGGCCCAUGACCCCCGAAGGCAUGUGUCAUAGGUGUAGCUCCCAUGGCAAACGAGCUGCACAGGCCUCCUUG